rnacentral:lncRNA from 1 species
CAUGCCUCGACUACACCACUCCACAAUUCAGGUACAUACUCUGCACACUUUACUUUACACAUACACAUAUAUAUCUUGGAUUAUAUAGAAUAUUGUUUCUGACAUGAUAAAUUAAAAAGAUCAAAAUGUUUCUAAUCAUGAUUAAUCUCACUCUGUGAUAUUUCCUGAAACUUGCAAUUAUUCAAAAUCAUUUUAAAAACCCUGUGUUACUUAAGUCAUUAUGGAAUG